rnacentral:rRNA from 1 species
UACGGGGGGAGCAAGCGUUGUUCGGAUUUACUGGGCGUAAAGGGCGGGUAGGCGGCCACCGCAAGUCAGUUGUGAAAUCUCCGGGCUUAACCCGGAAAGGUCAACCGAUACUGCGGGGCUAGAGUGCAGAAGGGGCAACUGGAAUUCUCGGUGUAGCGGUGAAAUGCGUAGAUAUCGAGAGGAACACCUGCGGCGAAGGCGGGUUGCUGGGCUGACACUGACGCUGAAGUGCGAAAGCUAGGGGAGCGAACGGG